rnacentral:snRNA from 1 species
GUGCUCGCUUCAGCAGUACGUACGUAUACUAGAAUUGGAAUGAUACAGAGAAGAUUAGCGUAGCCCCUGCACAAGGAUGACAUGCAAAUUCAUGAAGUGUUUCCUAUUUUU